rnacentral:rRNA from 1 species
UACGAAGGGGGGCUAGCGUUGUUCGGAUUUACUGGGCGUAAAGCGCACGUAGGCGGAUAUUUAAGUCAGGGGUGAAAUCCCGGGGCUCAACCCCGGAACUGCCUUUGAUACUGGGUAUCUUUGAGUCCGGAAGAGGUGAGUGGAAUUCCGAGUGUAGAGGUGAAAUUCGUAGAUAUUCGGAGGAACACCAGUGGCGAAGGCGGCUCACUGGUCCGGUACUGACGCUGAGGUGCGAAAGCGUGGGGAGCAAACAGG